rfam:Biomphalaria glabrata isolate BB02 unplaced genomic scaffold LGTN_random_Scaffold5048, whole genome shotgun sequence.
UAGCUGAGCGGUAAAGCGCUUGGCUUCCGAACCGGAGACCUGGGUUCGAAUCCUGG